rnacentral:rRNA from 1 species
CAUGAUGAACGCUAGCUACAGGCUUAACACAUGCAAGUCGAGGGGCAGCAUUUUAGUUUGCUUGCAAACUGAAGAUGGCGACCGGCGCACGGGUGAGUAGCACGUAUCCAACCUGCCGAUAACUCCGGAAUAGCCUUUCGAAAGAAAGAUUAAUACCGGAUGGCAUACGAAUAUCGCAUGAUAUUUUUAUUAAAGAAUUUCGGUUAUCGAUGGGGAUGCGUUCCAUUAGUUUGUUGGCGGGGUAACGGCCCACCAAGACUACGAUGGAUAGGGGUUCUGAGAGGAAGGUCCCCCACAUUGGAACUGAGACACGGUCCAAACUCCUACGGGAGGCAGCAGUGAGGAAUAUUGGUCAAUGGGCGCGAGCCUGAACCAGCCAAGUAGCGUGAAGGAUGAAGGCUCUAUGGGUCGUAAACUUCUUUUAUAUGGGAAUAAAGUUUUCCACGUGUGGAAUUUUGUAUGUACCAUAUGAAUAAGGAUCGGCUAACUCCGUGCCAGCAGCCGCGGUAAUACGGGGGAUCCGAGCGUUAUCCGGAUUUAUUGGGUUUAAAGGGAGCGUAGGUGGAUUGUUAAGUCAGUUGUGAAAGUUUGCGGCUCAACCGUAAAAUUGCAGUUGAAACUGGCAGUCUUGAGUACAGUAGAGGUGGGCGGAAUUCGUGGUGUAGCGGUGAAAUGCUUAGAUAUCACGAAGAACUCCGAUUGCGAAGGCAGCUCACUAGACUGUCACUGACACUGAUGCUCGAAAGUGUGGGUAUCAAACAGGAUUAGAUACCCUGGUAGUCCACACAGUGAACGAUGAAUACUCGCUGUUUGCGAUAUACAGUAAGCGGCCAAGCGAAAGCAUUAAGUAUUCCACCUGGGGAGUACGCCGGCAACGGUGAAACUCAAAGGAAUUGACGGGGGCCCGCACAAGCGGAGGAACAUGUGGUUUAAUUCGAUGAUACGCGAGGAACCUUACCCGGGCUUAAAUUGCAACAGAAUAUAUUGGAAACAGUAUAGCCGUAAGGCUGUUGUGAAGGUGCUGCAUGGUUGUCGUCAGCUCGUGCCGUGAGGUGUCGGCUUAAGUGCCAUAACGAGCGCAACCCUUAUCUUUAGUUACUAACAGGUCAUGCUGAGGACUCUAGAGAGACUGCCGUCGUAAGAUGUGAGGAAGGUGGGGAUGACGUCAAAUCAGCACGGCCCUUACGUCCGGGGCUACACACGUGUUACAAUGGGGGGUACAGAAGGCGGCUACCUGGUGACAGGAUGCUAAUCCCAAAAACCUCUCUCAGUUCGGAUCGAAGUCUGCAACCCGACUUCGUGAAGCUGGAUUCGCUAGUAAUCGCGCAUCAGCCAUGGCGCGGUGAAUACGUUCCCGGGCCUUGUACACACCGCCCGUCAAGCCAUGAAAGCCGGGGGUACCUGAAGUACGUAACCGCAAGGAGCGUCCUAGGGUAAAA